CAAUAGCGUAUAUUUAAGUUGCUGCAGUUAAAAAGCUCGUAGUUGGAUUUCGGGUGGGAAUGGCCGGUCCGCCGUUUCGGUGUGCACUUGCUACGCCCACCUUGCUGCCGGGGACGUGCUCUUGAGUUCACGCUCGGGACACGGAGUCGGCGAGGUUACUUUGAGUAAAUUAGAGUGUUCAAAGCAGGCCUACGCUCUGAAUACAUUAGCAUGGAAUAACACGAUAGGACUCUGGCCUAUCUUGUUGGUCUGUAGGACCGGAGUAAUGAUUAAGAGGGACAGUCGGGGGCAUUCGUAUUUCAUUGUCAGGGGUGAAAUUCUUGGAUUUAUGGAAGACGAACUACUGCGAAAGCAUUUGCCAAGGAUGUUUUCAUUAA
rnacentral:rRNA from 1 species